AACCUGGUGGCUAUGCUGGAGUACAGGGAGCACCUGGUGCGGGAGAAGUGGAUCCAGAUCGAGACGGCCUAGAUCAUCCGCGAACGCCUCCGCUGGUGCUACCGCGUCGAGGGCACGAGACAACCACCACAAGAAGCUGGGGCAAGGACCGCCGCCCGGCCGACCUGCAUGACAAUUGGUUAUUAGGUGAGCACGCUGUACCUCAACACCUCCAAACCAACGAGCAAACCAGAAGCGUCGCCAGCUCCUACACGAGGACCAUGAAGUCUGCAAGCCCAUCCCAGGUUAUAUUAUUUCACUUGGUUCAGUGUUCAUUGUAGUCCGACAGAUAAAUUAAAUUGACUUGGGUAUGGUCAGUUACAAAAGGUGAACAGAUGAGCAUGCCACUUGCAGGUGUGCACAGAUUCUUUAUUGUAGAUGGCAAAGUAAUUUGGCAUGAAUAAUUCAAUGAUGUUUCAAAGUAAUUUGAUGUUCACCGAGUAGACAUAAUUGGUUAGCAUGGUUUCUUUCUUUUUGAUAGUUUCAGAUUAGGAGUAAAUUAGUUCAAAUACAACUCAGGUUCUCCAAUCCUCUACAAAUAGUUUAGCACCAACAAAAUCGGAGAAGCCCACCCUUCAAACUAGCUACAGAUUCCAAUUAAGUUCUAACCACCCAAGUACUUGUCUAAUUUGUAUCAUGAUCACAAACAAAGCGUCAUUGACAUGGGACCUUCCCUUUAUUGUCAGGCUAUAGCUUGAAUGUUAUUAGAAGCUUUGGUGUAUUGCAUCAUUUCAAUAUAGUUCAAUAUGACCUGACACUAUAGCAUAUCCUUAUGAAGAGCUACAACAUAUGUGUAAUCAAGGUUAUCGAUAUUAAAAGCAGUUGCUUCUUAACAGACAACAUAAGCCAGAGAUCAUUUUGGAACAUCGCGCGCGAUUUGACCAAUCUGAACCAUGCCCCUGAUCAGGUGGAACCUCCGGCAUCGCCGAAAUCGUCUGCGCCCGGGAGGGGUGAAGAGGCUUGGUGGAGGACGCCUUGACACUGGCAAAUAAUGGUGCGGCAUUCGUCUCCUUUGGGAUCCUAGAGUUAUAUAUAUAUAUGAUGAACCUGGGAUCGAGUUCUUUGAUUUGUUGGUGCAGAUCAAGGAGUGCAUAAGCUGCCUACGCUGCAGCGGUAAGGAGACGUCGUAGCAACAACACACAGUAGUGCUCACAAAAUACUUCUAUUUGAGGUUUGAUGCCCUCAUGGUGCUAUGACUAUAAGAUAUUUGAACAAAAAGAGGUGAAUUUUGAGUU